rnacentral:lncRNA from 1 species
UGCUUUCUGGAUCUCAUAGACUGCUGUUUCUGCCUGCACGGGCCAGAUGGCCCAGCACCUUCCCUUCCAGUCCGCUUAGCGCAGUCAUAGGCUUCUGUCCGGCUUGGAUUUGUCUUUUCUGCUCUGCAUUCAAGGCCCGUUCACCUCCGCAGUCAAGCCUCGUUCACCUCCGCAGUUCUGAGACCUGGGGAAGGCAGAGCCCCAUCUCCCACUUAGGGAACUGGGUGGAUUGGAUACUCCUUUUCCCCACUCCUGGUUGGUGGCACCUGGCCGGGUGCCUGAGGCCUGACUGCACGAAUGGCCUGCAUGGGACUUUGACUCUAGAGCUGGCAACGGAGAGGGCGGCUCAGAAAGAAUAAAUGCUCAAAACUGAAGAUGUUAUUUAAAGAAAAAAAUGAGAACUCUGGAAAGGAAUUGAUUCCUGUCUCUCAAUUUGUUCAUCAAAAACUUUUAUAAAG